rnacentral:misc_RNA from 1 species
GAAAUGCGAUAAGUAAUGUGAAUUGCAGAAUUCAGUGAAUCAUCGAAUCUUUAAACGCACAUUGCGCCCGCCAGUAUUCUGGCGGGCAUGCCUGUUCGAGCGUCAUUUCAACCAUCAAGCCCCCGGCUUGUGUUGGGGACCUGCGGCUGCCCGCAGGCCCUGAAAAACAGUGGCGGGCUCGCUGUCACACCGAGCGUAGUAGCAUACAUUCUCGCUCAGGGCGUGCUGCGGGUUCCGGCCGUUAAACGACCUUCAUAACCCAAGGUUGACCUCGGAUCAGGUAGGAAGACCCGCUGAACUUAAGC